rnacentral:rRNA from 1 species
GAUGAACGCUGGCGGCGUGCCUAAUACAUGCAAGUCGAGCGAAUGGAUUGAGAGCUUGCUCUUAUGAAGUUAGCGGCGGACGGGUGAGUAACACGUGGGUAACCUGCCCAUAAGACUGGGAUAACUCCGGGAAACCGGGGCUAAUACCGGAUAACAUUUUGAACCGCAUGGUUCGAAAUUGAAAGGCGGCUUCGGCUGUCACUUAUGGAUGGCCCCGCGUCGCAUUAGCUAGUUGGUGAGGUAACGGCUCACCAAGGCAACGAUGCGUAGCCGACCUGAGAGGGUGAUCGGCCACACUGGGACUGAGACACGGCCCAGACUCCUACGGGAGGCAGCAGUAGGGAAUCUUCCGCAAUGGACGAAAGUCUGACGGAGCAACGCCGUGUGAGUGAUGAAGGCUUUCGGGUCGUAAAACUCUGUUGUUAGGGAAGAACAAGUGCUAGUUGAAUAAGCUGGCACCUUGACGGUACCUAACCAGAAAGCCACGGCUAACUACGUGCCAGCCGCCGCCGUAA